rnacentral:tRNA from 1 species
GCCUUCGUGGUGCAGUGGUCAGCACACUCGGAGCGUAUUCGCGAUGUCCGUGGUUCGAGUCCCGGCGAAGGCA